UUUUAAAAAUACUUUAAUCAAUUCUGCAGCAGUUUCGUCCAAUGGCAAGUUCAUAAUGGUAUGUUAUUAAACUAAAAAACUUUUGAAAAUCUUGGUAGUGUAAUUUAAAUACUCUUUCCUUUACUAAGUUUAUUAGAACUCAUCUCAAUCCAUGUCCCCUCUCAAACGAUGUUGGAAGUGACUAUUUAACUAUUGAGUUACACAUUGAAGC
rnacentral:lncRNA from 1 species